rnacentral:rRNA from 1 species
UUUCGAGAUAAGGUUUCGUUUGAGGUUCCCUGUAGAUUAUGGGGUUGAUAGGCCGGAUCUGGAAGCAUAGUAAUGUGUGGAGGUGACCGGUACUAAUUGACCGAAACAAAACAACUG